rnacentral:rRNA from 1 species
AACGUAGGUGGCGAGCGUUAUCCGGAUUUACUGGGCGUAAAGGGUGUGCAGGCUGCCCCUCAAGUGGUGUAUGAAAGGGCUCGGCUCAACCGGGCUAGGUUAUGCCAGACUGAGGGGCUAGAGAGCGAGAGCGGGACGUGGAAUUCCGGGUGUAGUGGUGAAAUGCGUAGAGAUCUGGAGGAACCCCAGAGGCGAAGGCGGCGUCCUGGCUCGCACCUGACGCUCAGACACGACAGCAUGGGGAGCGAACGGG